rnacentral:rRNA from 1 species
UCGGAAUUACUGGGCGUAAAGUGUGCGCAGGUGGCCGCGCAAGUCGAGUGUGAAAUCCCCGAGCUUAACUUGGGAAUUGCGCUCGAAACUACGUGGCUCGAGUGUGGCAGAGGAAGGUGGAAUUCCACGUGUAGCGGUGAAAUGCGUAGAGAUGUGGAGGAACACCGAUGGCGAAGGCAGCCCCCUGGGCCAACACUGACGCUCAGGCACGAAAGCGUGGGGAGCAAACAGG